GGUUAUAGCUCAGUGGUAGAGCGCUUGCCUAGCAUGUGUGAGGCCCUGGGUUGGAUCCUCAGCACCA
rnacentral:tRNA from 1 species